GCGGGGGCCAGCACGCGCUGGCACUGCUGUUUGGAUGAAUCUCUCUGCUCCCAGCCCUGCCAGAGUUUCCCGGUGGCGGUUGCAGGGGCUGCGGUAAGGGGUUGCAGCGGGCAUUCUGUCUCUGCCGAGCCAGCAACUGCGAGCAUUGCUAUUCUCUGGCCAGACCCCGUGCUCCUGGGUCAGGAGGAGGGAGGCAGCUGAGGAUGUGCGCAGCACACUUUUUAUAUAUGUGGGGCCAUAAUAUUUAAGUGUCUUGGCUGUAAGCCUGCGACUGGGUCCCCCGACAGCCAAGCCUUGCUCCGCACGCUCUAACAGCUGUCUGUAAAACCCGUUUAUGGAGCCUCCAUAAAUUUCCCAGCUGCUGCAAACACAGGGCUGGGGACAAAGAGUCGAGGGAGGGAGGUGUGGAAGAGCAGCAGCUUCAGCGUCUCCGCUGGCUGGUCCUCUGGGCCCCAGCUUGCCCCCCACCCACCUGGGGCUGCCUUACCCUAAAUUCUUUUAUUGAAGCUGAUCUUAACGUCGACCCCGUGGGGCCUGGCUGGGCGAUCCAGCUCACCACAGAUGCAGGCACUUUCAAGAUUGCAGCAAAAGGGCCUGGAGCUUGAGCUGGAACCCACGCUGCUUGUCUGGGGCUUGAGCCGCCUUCAUCACGCAUGCCAGCUCACCCCUGAGUCACACCUGCUCCCUGAGCCUCUGGCUCGGGGCCUCCCACAGAUGGAUCACCUGCUGUGUACCUGACUCCAAAGAAAGAGACUGAGGACUACAGAACUCAAGACAUUCGUCCAAGGUCAUUUCUUGGGAUUAUACUGGACUGCCACAGCCCAGGAGAACCAUGGGUUCUGCUGGAAUUAUGAGCACAAAGUCAAGAGCGACACUUAGGAUCUCAUCCAAGCGUGUGAGGAACUAAGGUUGAAGAUGCCCUGGAAUUUUCCAUUCAGGAGGUCCAGGAACAUGGCUGGAUGAUUCAUGGGCCCCAGAGGAUCCCCUUUUCUGUAGCAAUCCCAGAUGGGUCUGGGCUUCCUGUCCCUUGCUGCCCCCUACACAGGCUCAUUGGUGCUUGCUGGACAGUUGCUCUGGCGUGGGGUCCAGAGAUGGCUGGCACAGACCUGAAUCUGAGUUGCCCGGUCUGGCAAUUAACACAAGCUGGGAUUGACUGGCUCUCCUCUGAGGCUGGGGGCUUGGCUAUCAUCAGCUAAAGAACCUGGAAUCCCUUCCAAAGGCAGACGGUAAGAUGGCAGGGUUUGCCCCUUCCUCAGCCACAGACCCAGGGGCUCAUGGCUGCUGUUCCUGAAAGCGGGUCCCUGGCCUCCAGCUUCUCUUCCUGCAGGAGUGGCCUCUGGAGAGGGGCUGCUUCAUGAUCAGGCCUAACUCCUUCUCCAGAGCCUCCUACUCCCGGAGACACCACGCAGUCCCGGAAAGCCCCUGCUCUCUGGCAACCUGGGCAGAACCUUUCUCCUUAGUCUUUGCGAGCUCCCCACAUAGCUGCAGGGCAGUGACCCAGAGAGGCCCGAACUUGAGUCCCGCUGGAGGCAACACCUCCCAGGACCUCACCCUAUCCUGAUCUCUGGCCUCCAAGAGCUGGCAGCACCUCGGGGCACCUGCGCUAGUUUCUUAAUGUUGCAGUAACAAAUGGCAGCAGGCUGGGUAUGAUGACUCACACCUGGUAAUCCUGGCAUUUGGGAGGCCAAGGCGGGUGGAUAACCUGAGGUCAGGAGUUCGAGACCAGCCUGGCCAAAUGGUGAAACCUGUCUCUACUAAAAGUACAAAAAUUAGCUGGGCCUGGUGGCACGUGCCUGUAAUCCCAGCUACUCGGGAGGCUGACAUGGGAGGAUGGCUUGAAUCCGGGAGGUGGAUGUUGCUGUGAGCCGAGAUCGUGCCACUGCACUUCAGCCUGGGCGACAGAGUGAGAUUCUGUCUCAAAACAAGCAAGCAAGCAAGCAAACAAACAACCCAAAACAAAUGGCGGCAGACUUAGUGGCUGAAACAAUACAAAUAUAGUCCCUCGCAGUUCUGGAGAAGUCUAAAAGGAGCUUUACAGGGCUAAGAUUAAGGGGAAGCCAGGGCUGUGUUCCUUCCAGAGGCUCCAGGAAGCCUUCCCAGGCCUUUUCCAGCUUUUAGGGGCUGCUGUAUUCCUUGGCUUGGGGCCUCUUCCUCCAUCUUCAAAGCCCGUGUUCCAGCCCUCUGACCUCUUCCCCCAUUGUCCUGUUGUCUUCUCUGACACUCCUGCCUCCCUUUCCCUCAUGACUCCUGUGGUUACAUUGGGCCUGCUCAGCUCAUUUUAAGAUCCUCAGCUGAAUCAUGUCUGCAAAGCCCCUUGUGCACAUGGGUACUGGCAUAUUCCCAGGUUCUGGGGAUUAGGACAUGGACGUCUUUGGUGGGGGCCAUUAUUCCUGCCACAGCCCCCCAUUCCUGGCUUGUUUGCCCGGGGUGAGGCCGCCUCUGUGACAUUGUGACAGAGCCAUGUUUUAGACCCCAGCACAGUCCCAGCCAACUCAGGCUCACCAGCUCGGUUCUAGCUGCUGGGCAGAGGAGAGACCUUUCCCCAGGUGACAGGCACGGGUUCAGAAGCAGACUCCCUUAAGACAGCUCAGUGCGUAAAGCAGCAGAGAGCCAGUGUACGCACAGACACGUGCAUGCACACACUCGCACUAGGGGUGGGGUUAACCUGAGUGGGUGAUUUCCAUCUACCCCUAGAUGCUCACUGUGAAAAGCCUUUAGCCCAUCUGCAUGUCCAAGUGUGUAUAAGUGUGAACGUGUGCACAUGAGUGUGUAUAUGCAAUUAUGAACAUGUGUGCACAUAAGCAAAUGUAAAAGUAAAUGUACAUGCCUGCACAUGAGUGUAUGUGAGGGGUGCUUUUCAGAGAAUGGCCAGGCUGGGUGUGGUGGCUCAUGCCUAUAAUCCCAGCACUUUGGGAGGCCGAGGCCUGGGGGGAUUACUUGAGCCCAGUAGUUUGAGAUCAGUAGUUUGGGCAACAUAGCAAGACCCCUAUCUCUACAAAAAAUACAAAAUU
rnacentral:lncRNA from 1 species